UAUAAGUAUUGUACAGCGAAACUGCGAAUGGCUCAUUACAUCAGUUAUAAUUUAUUUGAUAAUCGAAAGUUACAUGGAUAACCGUGACAAAUUACAGCUAAUACAUGCAGUCAGACCUGGUCCAAGGGUCGUAAUUAUUAGUAUUAAACCAUUUCCGAAAGGAGUGUGAUGAAUCAUAAUAAUCGAACGAAUCGCCUGGUGUGCGAUAAAUCAUUCAAGUUUCUGCCCUAUCAGCUUUGGAUGGUAGUGUAUUGGACUACCAUGGCAGUCACGGGUAACGGAGAAUUAGGGUUCGAUUCCGGAGAGGGAGCCUGAGAAACGGCUACCACAUCUACGGAAGGCAGCAGGAGCGAAAAUUGCCCAAUCCCGACACGGGGAGGCAGUGACGAGAAAUAACAACUCUUGGUUAUUCUAAGAAGUGUAAUGAGGAUAAUUUAAAACCCUUACCGAAAGCAAUUGGAGGGCAAGUCUGGUGCCAGCAGCCGCGGUAAUUCCAGCUCCAAUAGCGUAUAUUAAAGUUGUUGCAGUUAAAAAGCUCGUAGUUGAAGUUCUGGCUGAUCGAUCCUCGAGCUCUGUAGCCGAGGACUCGUCAGUCAUCCGCUUGCAAAUAUAUGUUCGCCUUUAACCGGGUGGCUAUAUGAGUAAGCAAUUUACCUUGAGAAAAACAGAGUGUUCCAGGCAGGUUUGUCCGGAAUGCAUUAGCAUGGAAUAAUAGAAUAUGACUGAAGUCGAUUUAUUGGUUUGAGGCUUUAGUAAUGAUU
rnacentral:rRNA from 1 species